AACAAAACAAAGUGUGGAGGCGUGCGUGUAACACGGGUGGGAAAUAAGCCAUAUUUCCUCUCAUGGCAUCCCCUCAUAUUACCUGCAGCGUUUCCACGUUUAAUCUCACGAGUUUAACACACGCGCUCACGUGACCCGCUGCAGCCUAUCGCGCUCUAUAUGAUCCACCGUCCCAAGAUGGCUGCCAGGUGCGGUGGCUAAGCCUGGGCACAUCUGAAGCCGGAGCCGACCAUCAGGGCCGAGUUGCGACGAGAGAGUGUUAUUAAGCCGAAUUGGCCAGGUCCCUAAGUCUUGGAUGGCGAGCUGUAGAUAGGCCUUGAGCCUGAGCCCAAGGAUCUCCACCUCUCAACCCCUGAACUCCACCUGUUCUGGUCGGGCCGGUAGGCGGCUUAUAGCCGAACCCCUUGCCUCGCACCUCAUUACUCUGCAGCCUUUUGCACUACCUCAUACACACCCUACCCAUAAACUGA